rnacentral:rRNA from 1 species
UACAGAGGUCUCGAGCGUUGUUCGGAUUCAUUGGGCGUAAAGGGUGCGUAGGUGGCGCAGUAAGUCGGGUGUGAAAUCCUGAGGCUUAACCUCAGAACUGCAUUCGAUACUGCUGUGCUUGAGGACUGGAGAGGAGACUGGAAUUCAUGGUGUAGCGGUGAAAUGCGUAGAGAUCGUGAGGAAGACCAGUGGCGAAGGCGGGUCUCUGGGCUGUUCCUGACGCUGAGGCGCGAAAGCCAGGGGAGCAAUCGGG